rnacentral:rRNA from 1 species
GACGAACGCUGGCGGCGUGCUUAACACAUGCAAGUCGAACGAUGAAACCUAGCUUGCUAGGUCGAUUAGUGGCGAACGGGUGAGUAACACGUGACUAACCUGCCCCUUUCUCUGGGAUAACGCUCCGAAAGGAGUGCUAAUACCGGAUACUCACAUCGAGGCACAUGCCUUGGUGUGGAAAGUUUUUCGGAAAGGGAUGGAGUCGCGGCCUAUCGGCUUGUUGGUGAGGUAACGGCUCACCAAGGCGACGACGGGUAGCCGGCCUGAGAGGGGGACCGGCCACACUGGGACGGAGACACGGCCCAGACUCCUACGGGAGGCAGCAGUGGGGAAUAUUGCACAAUGGGCGCAAGCCUGAUGCAGCGACGCCGCGUGAGGGAUGAAGGUCUUCGGAUUGUAAACCUCUUUCAGUAGGGACGAAGCGAAAGUGACGGUACCUAAAGAAGAAGCACCGGCUAACUACGUGCCAGCCGCCGCCGUAA